UCAGAACGGAAAUCUAUUUGUCACUUUAGGGCAGAUUUAAGUUCACUUUUACAAACUACGACUGGAGUACAAAUUAGUUUUAGGUUUUUAUGUUGAUUUUUUGGUCCACUGUUUCAAUUAUGAAGAACAAUGUAAAAUUCAGCUUGGUUUGGGUUUGAAAUUCAAAUCGGUUAGGUACUUAUACUAAAUUAGGGAAAAUUGGUUGGGUUCACUGAAUUUAGGGCAAAUUGGUGAAUUCAGGGCAAAUUGGGAGGAAGCGUGGAUUAAUUGAUGGAUAAGAGCCUGCUCAUUCCGUAGGAAAUAGAGUCGAUCAGUCAUGAAAAACAUGCUGUAGUUCCCUCAAUGUAGGGAAAAUUGGUGAAUUUAGGGAAGAUUUGUUUUCAUAGACAUAUUUAAGUUCAUUUUGGUCUUAGGUUCUUAUGUUUGUUUUUUCCGUUCUACUAUUGCAUCUUAUGAAAAACAAUAUUAAAUUAAACAUGGUUUAGGUUGUUUCUACACAGAAUUUUGGUUUGUUAUCAUGAUAAUGUUCAAAUUGGUUUGCAUUUUUGUACUGCGCAAUUAAAAUUUUGGCUUUCAAUGCAACUAAAUAAUGGAGGAUAAGCUCCCUGAUCGCCAUCGAAGUCCGAGACUAAUAGCGCGACUUCAGGAAUUGAGUACAACAGAAGAUGUUGAAGAAAGGAAAUGUCAUAGACAACUUGAUGCACACCAAACAGAUUCUCAGCUGUAGCUGCGCCGAAUUUCGGUUAAAGCAAAGCAUAAUUCAAUGACCGAAAAUGAAAGGGAAGCACAUCUAGAAAGAUGUAGGAAUGCUUAUCGUAUGCAGAGAAUAAGAGCUGUUGAAAACAUAAAUAAGCAAGCCGGAACAAGUUGUAAUCAUGUAGCUAUGGAGGUUAACAGGUCCCUAGGGAUUUAAUCUUUAAGUAUGCAAAGACGCCCCAGAUGAUUUGAGCAGGUUAAAUGUAGAUUAAAUGUGGAUUUCAUGCAUAGAGGAAGUUCAUUCUCUCUUAGAUGAUUCUGGUGGAGGAAAUAUAUAUGUAAUGAUACCAUUCAUAGCAAUAGGCUUGCUGCUGCAAUAGUAAAUGGACUGCAGAAGGUUCAAUAUCUAUCGCCAGCACAGUGCGAGGACUUUUGACGAAUACACCAGUUGAGGAUCAAAAGAUGUUUCAGAAUAUUACCUGUAAUACAACCACCUCAAAGCAUGAAAUUUACCAGGUUUAACAAUGUCUGUUGACUUCAUUAAUUCACUAAUUAUGUGAGUACAAGAAUAUAUUCAAAAGAAGAAUUAGAGGAAGGAAUUUUUUUUGAAAUAAUGUUGGUUUUAGGGUUGUAGAAGCUAUGUGAACUGAAAUUUAUCCUGUGAAUCUAUGAUUCAUGCUGCAUCGUAGGUUCCAGAUUGGAUGGAAUAAAAAAUACACUGCUUCCUAAAUGUUGCAUAUGCGAGAAUGUCUUAUUUGUCUAAAUUGAAGAGAUUAUGCAAAGAAAGUCUGCUUUGCAGAUCUCAAUGUUUAUCAUCAGUUUAAAAAGUAUGUUUUGCAUCAAAUAGAAGAUAUGCAAGAACAUCUGCUUAGUCAAGCUGAACAAAGUUGUGAACUUUUAGUACGAAUGGCUGUGAUGGUGUUAUGUGGCAAUUUUGACUGUUGAGGAGGCUCAAACAGCAGGUGCAUGGAGUCUGCGUUUUAUUCUAAAUUGGUGAUGAGAAUGAAUCUUGCUUGAGUAAGGAAGUUUUUUUCGUCUUAGAUAAAUGUAGUGUCAAAUGCAUAUGAAAACACAUUUUGUAUAAAUGGAUUUUGUUGAAUGAAGAGUUUGAUUUAUUUAUUUUUA